AGGAGAAAAUCUAAUAGAGGAGCUCAUCAUAGACAAAUCGUAAUAUACUAUGAAGGCACAAAGAGGGAGCAGCUUAGAGGCUGUUUAAUCCAACCUCUUUAUUUUAGAAAUGAGUUAACUAAAACCCAAGAAGGGUAAGAAACCUGCUUCAGUUCACAAUGGGGGACUAGAACUCAGUGCUUUUGACACCCAGCCUGCUUCUCCAUCUUGCUGAUUGAUGGUAGAGAUGGGGAUAAUCUUUUGAGAUGCCUUCCAGCCUCCAAUUUCUACGACUGCAGAUUUUUGGGGGGAGGGGGUGCAUUUUUAUUUCCCUUGUUGUCCUGGAGCUCACUGUCCACAGGGAGUCUUACUCACCCUUGACUCAUCCACAGUGCAGCACAAAGCCUUGCCAGGGUACGUGAUCACUACAUGUUUAACCAACUAAAUCCCCGUGACCUGACAAUGGACUUAUUCAAAACAAUUUUUUCUCAUAACACUAUACUUGAGCUGACAGGCCAGUCAAGGUAGCUCCAACAUUACACCAGCAAGGACAGGGUCAACAUAUACGCUCGGAAGCACUACUGACCUUCACUUAGAACUUCAACACACAGAACCUGGCUCAAGUCUAUGCCUUCCAUCUCAUAAUUUGCAUAAUCAUUAAAAUGCAAUUUAUUUGAAACAAAGAUUCUUUGGCAGAUAUAUGCAGUUUCCUCAGUAUCUGUCAUUUGCUUACAAGGCCGGACUUCUUGGUAGCUCAUACAUGGAUUAUUUUCCAGAGCCAGACACGGGUCUAGAACUGGCAUGGCACUUCCCUGAGGAACAGGAAGAAAGUUUAUGAUGCUAAUUCUUCAGUGAGAACUGCCUGUUUGGAACCACUGUUUUCUUUCAGAUCUUCUUUGGAUUUGGCUAAAAUCCCUAAGAAUGAAAAGUAAAGCCCCAAUCUCUGGGCCAAGUUCAUUCUCCACCUGUGUAAAUCUCUAAGUAAUCUCCCCAAAGCCUAAGACCAGACCACUCAAGGAAAUGGACUGGAAGCCAGUGGUACAUGAGGGAGAGAGUUUACAUUCUAUUUACUUCCCAACCUGCGCUGAGCAUUCUAUGGGACAUCGGGCUCAGGAAAGUGGAAAACCAGAGGCAACGCAAGAAGUUCCAAAUGAUCUUAAACAUUUUGUGGCUUGCGAAAUUUCUUCGAAGGAUGCUGUAUCCUAGUUGAGACUUCCCCACGAAGGUGGAUGAUGCUAAGAAGAGUUUGCUGAUGGGAAUGCCCAGUUAGCUGAAAGGGAGAAGAUGACGGUGCAGGAGUGUAGGGCAGGAAGGAGCAGUCACCGCGGGGCGCAGCAUGCUGCGCACUGGUGGGCCUGAACCAGCACUGGAGCGAAGGCCGGAUCCGCAGGUGUCUUGGAGAACGUCAAAUAUAAAAGGAAAAACAGCUUCUGCUUGAGGUUGCUUCGGGGGAAACACUGCUUCCAGAGGACCAUUGAGCCAAGUUUCAGUAAAGGUGAAAGGCAAAAGAAUCGUUCAUUAAGGAAGCUGAAAUUGUAGGGGUUCAGAAUGUGUCACCCCAAAACAUGCUACUUUGGCAUAGUGACUAUUUUGAAUUAAAAGUACUUGAGAAAUAGCCAGUGCAAGGACACACCCUCCUUUGCCCCCUAAAAACAAGAGAUAAAUCUCCCAUGUGAAAGGUAUUCUCCCUAUACCAGAAGGGUAGAGGGCAUCCCUAUACCAACAGAUUUAAAAAAUUAGGGCUCAGAAGGCUGUUUUUUCUUCACCAAGCCCAAACCUGUCUUCUCAACUCUUUACAAAUUUAUUGCCUUUCUAAAACAUAUAAAAGCUACUUGUUUUGGUCACUUCUUUUAGUCUCAUAUUUUUUAGGAGGUUUCUGUACAUAUGAAAUUAAAAUUGUUUUUCUCUGGUUAAUCUGUCUUGAGUGAAUUUAAUUAUUAGACCAGACAAAGAACCUAGCAAGGAAGAAAAAAAUUUUUCACUACUACAAAACUGAAGGGAAAUCACUGGAUCCCAAAGCGCAUGCAGAUACGAGGACAGGGAGGAGCAGGGUGAGAUGAGCACCUGAAAGAUGAGCAUAAUCUGGAGGCUUGGACUUUUGGUGACAACCAUGAUGGAUGUCAGAUCACACCAUUACUGAAGACCUCUUUGCCUGUGUCUACAGAUGUCACUGCUGUCAGGUGCAUGCAGUUGCUCAAGGUCCACAUUACUGACAAUGCAUUUUCUGGGUCCAUGUCACUCCAUUCAAUUCUUCAGUUGUUUCCUUUUAUAUUUUUCUGAACAACAUCCCUCAUUCCUCUGGUAAUUUUAUAAAAGAGGGAUUAUGAGUGAGAAACUGAGUUCUUGCAGACCUGAAAAAGGUCUUCAUUUGCCUUUACAACCUGAGGGAUAGCUUCCCUAGACUCUUAGGUUCUACAUUCUUUCAGAACUGUAAAUAUGUCCCUUCAUUUUCUUGCACCCGGUGUUGCCACUGAUGCCAACAUGAUUCUUGCUUCUUUAUAGGCUGGACUGAUUUCUCUCUCUGGAAGCUUUUAGAAAUUUUCCUUCCCCUUAGUGUUCUGAGACUUCAUUAUAUGUGUAAAACGUGAGUCUUCUUAAAUUGAUAAAUUCAUGGUGGGCACUCCAUGGUGGGCCCUUUCACUCUAAGGAUUCUUGCUUUUCUUCUGUUUAAGAAAUUUUCUUCCCUUAUUUCUUUGGGUAUUUGUUACCCCCUCCAUUUUCUCUCUUUUCUUCUUCCAGAACUCAUACAAGAUGAACCUGGGAAUUUCUGAAAUGAUUCCUUUUAUUGUAUUCACUUUUCUGUCACCCUUUCUAUUAUUUUAUACUCUUGGAAAAUUCUUUCAUCUUUUUCUCCUGCUCAUUAAUUCCCUUUAAUUGUAUUCAUUAUGCCGUGCAGCCCCUUUAACAAGGUUCUAGCCAAACAAUAAUGUUUCAUUUCCAAGAUCUAGGAAAUAAAAUUCAUUCUUUCCCAUAAGUCUGUUCUUGUUUCAUGAAUGCAAUAUUCUUUUUUUAUCUUUUCGGGGUAUAAGUACACUUCUCUUAAAGUCUCCUUCUUUAUGUCCUAUUCACUUGGAACCUCCGAUGUUAGCUUUCAAUUUCUUGAGCUCGGAGCCUCUCUUUUAUGACACUGGUUUUCCUCUGAUGUUUGGCAACUCUUAGUUGUAUGUGCUUGUGAAGUUUUUAGAUCCCCAGUGUGUAAAUGCUCCGUCUAUUCACCAUAGCCAUGUCUAGUAAUUACAGGAGAGUGGAGGGACAUGUAGGUAGGGCUUUUGGACUCUGAUCUCUACCUUUAAUGUGAUUCUAUCUGCCUUUUCUCCUUUAGGAAUUCCUCAAAUUCCUAGACUACCCAGUAUACUCCUUUAUU